rnacentral:rRNA from 1 species
GACGAACGCUGGCGGCGUGCCUAAUACAUGCAAGUCGAGCGGAAUGAUGAAGAAGCUUGCUUCUUCUGAUUUUAGCGGCGGACGGGUGAGUAACACGUGGGCAACCUACCUUGUAGAUUGGGAUAACUCCGGGAAACCGGGGCUAAUACCGAAUAAUCCAUUUUGCUUCAUGGCGAGAUGUUGAAAGACGGUUUCGGCUGUCACUACAAGAUGGGCCCGCGGCGCAUUAGCUAGUUGGUAGGGUAAUGGCCUACCAAGGCGACGAUGCGUAGCCGACCUGAGAGGGUGAUCGGCCACACUGGGACUGAGACACGGCCCAGACUCCUACGGGAGGCAGCAGUAGGGAAUCUUCCACAAUGGACGAAAGUCUGAUGGAGCAACGCCGCGUGAGUGAAGAAGGUUUUCGGAUCGUAAAACUCUGUUGUAAGGGAAGAACACGUACGAAAGUAACUGCUCGUACCUUGACGGUACCUUAUUAGAAAGCCACGGCUAACUACGUG